rnacentral:rRNA from 1 species
AGGUCUAUUCUGCCCACUGAAAUUUUUAAAGGGCUGCGGUAAUUUGACUGUACAAAGGUAGCAUAAUCAAUAUUUUUAAUUGAAAACUAGAAUGAAUGAGUGAAUGGAAAAUUAACUUUCUUUUUUUAAGUAGUUAAAAUUUUAUUUUUUAGUAAAAAAGCUGAAAUUUUUUUAAAAAACAAGAAGACCCUAUAAAUUUUUAUUUGAUUUUAUUUAAAUUUGAUUUAUUUGGUAUAAGGAUAAAAUAGGAUUAAAUUUAAUUGGGGUGAUUGGAAAAGAUUAAUAUUUUUUUAUUUAAAUUAAUUUAUUUAAUUUUUUGAUCCUUAAUUUUAGAUCAAAAGAUUAAAUUACCUUAGGGAUAACAG